GUGCUGGUGUCUGUAGCACAUGUGCUAAAAUUAGGACAAGACAGAGAUUGGUAUGGACCUCGUGCAAGGAUGACAUGAAAUCCAGGAAGAGUUCCAUAUUUUU